rnacentral:snRNA from 1 species
GUGCUCACUUCAGCAGCACAUAUACAAAAAUUGGAACUAUACAGAGAUUAGCAAGGCCCCGUGCAAGGGUGACACACAAAUUUAUGAAGCAUUCCAUGUUUGU